rnacentral:rRNA from 1 species
CGGAGGAUCCAAGCGUUAUCCGGAAUCAUUGGGUUUAAAGGGUCCGUAGGCGGUUUAGUAAGUCAGUGGUGAAAGCCCAUCGCUCAACGGUGGAACGGCCAUUGAUACUGCUAAACUUGAAUUAUAAGGAAGUAACUAGAAUAUGUAGUGUAGCGGUGAAAUGCUUAGAUAUUACAUGGAAUACCAAUUGCGAAGGCAGGUUACUACUUAUGGAUUGACGCUGAUGGACGAAAGCGUGGGGAGCGAACAGGAUUAGAUACCCUGUAGUCCACGCCGUAAACGAUGGAUACUAGCUGUUCGGAGCAAUCUGAGUGGCUAAGCGAAAGUGAUAAGUAUCCCACCUGGGGAGUACGUUCGCAAGAAUG